AACGAACGCUGGCGGCGUGGAUAAGACAUGCAAGUCGAACGAGAUUUUUCGUUGUAGCAAUACGAUGGAAAGUCUAGUGGCGAACGGGUGCUUAACACGUGGGCAACCUGCCAGGAAGUGGGGGAUAGCUCGCCGAAAGGCGAAUUAAUACCGCAUGUGAUUAGAGAGGACAUCCUUUCGAAAUUAAAGUCGGGGCAACCUGACGCUUCUUGUGGGGCCCGCGGCCUAUCAGCUAGUUGGUGAGGUAACGGCUCACCAAGGCUUUGACGGGUAGCUGGUCUGAGAGGACGACCAGCCACACUGGGACUGAGACACGGCCCAGACACCUACGGGUGGCAGCAGUCGAGAAUUUUUGACAAUGGGGGAAACCCUGAUCGAGCGACGCCGCGUGGAGGAUGAAGGUCUUCGGAUUGUAAACUCCUGUCAUUGGGGAACAAUGCACAGAUAUUAACUGUAUUUGUGUUGAUAGUACCCGAAGAGGAAGAGACGGCUAACUCUGUGCCAGCCGCCGCCGUAAUAC
rnacentral:rRNA from 1 species